rnacentral:RNase_P_RNA from 1 species
GAGGAAAGUCCGGACUCCUUUAUAGGAACAGGUUGUUGGAUAAAUUUCAAUAUAAGUAAUUAUGAGGAUAGUGCCACAGAAAAAUACCGCCUUUGAGUGUUUAUCGCUACAAGGUAAGGGUGCAAAGGUGUAUUAAGAGUGCACCAGUAGUAUUGUUGAAAUACUUGCUUGGUAAACCCCAUCAAGGAGAAAAGAGUUGUCAGUGACUAUCUAUAAAUUUAUUGAUUCGCUUUUAUGUAAUUGAAUACCGCAUAAAGCAGCAUCUCUCAGUAUGCUACUUGAGAUUAAUAACUACCCUUUCCCCAAUUUGUGGUGGAAGAACAGAAUCCGGCUUAU